GAUGAACGCUGGCGGCGUGCCUAAUACAUGCAAGUCGAGCGAACAGACGAGGAGCUUGCUCCUCUGAUGUUAGCGGCGGACGGGUGAGUAACACGUGGAUAACCUACCUAUAAGACUGGGAUAACUUCGGGAAACCGGAGCUAAUACCGGAUAACAUGUUGAACCGCAUGGUUCAACAGUGAAAGACGGUCUUGCUGUCACUUAUAGAUGGAUCCGCGCCGCAUUAGCUAGUUGGUAAGGUAACGGCUUACCGAGGCAACGAUGCGUAGCCGACCUGAGAGGGUGAUCGGCCACACUGGAACUGAGACACGGUCCAGACUCCUACGGGAGGCAGCAGUAGGGAAUCUUCCGCAAUGGGCGAAAGCCUGACGGAGCAACGCCGCGUGAGUGAAGAAGGUCUUCGGAUCGUAAAACUCUGUUAUUAGGGAAGAACAAAUGUGUAAGUAACUAUGCACGUCUUGACGGUACCUAAUCAGAAAGCCACGGCUAACUACGUG
rnacentral:rRNA from 1 species